CAGAUUAUUCCAGACUUAAGACAUGGAGAUAUAUCUUGCUAGAGCCCCCAGUAUAUAUUCAGUGUGUCCUCUGAAGUAACAACCAUCCCAUCUGGCUGAGAAGUGAUGGACACGGCUCCUUAACCACACUGUACCCUCCGUUCUUGGCACCUCUCUACCAGAAAGAUAUCGACAAAUUGGAUGGAAUUCAGAGAACAUGACUUCCUAUUAUCCUUCUCAAAGUUAUUGCUGCAGAGGAAAGAAGCAUACAUCUUUCACCCACCAGGAAACCCCCAAAGCACCUAUUACUGUAAUAGCCAUGGGAAACAGAAGGCACCUCAAAUAAAGGUAGGGGGAAAAAAUGAAAGAGAUGACUUUGGCCUGUGCCUGUUUGACCUCUGAGAGAUACUUUUUGCAAGAAAUUGUUAAGUUUUGGCCCAAGAAGUGGUCGGUCUUUUAUCCUUCUUUGUGGAGGCCAAAAUGCAAACCAGGAUGAAGAAACCAUAAGUGGCAGUUUGAGGAGGCGGUGGAGGGACUAUCUAGACUCAGUGUAUCACCAACGAAACAUGAGGCCUAUUU
rnacentral:antisense_RNA from 1 species